CCUACGGGAGGCAGCAGUGAGGGAUAUUGGUCAAUGGGGGAAACCCUGAACCAGCAACGCCGCGUGAGGGAAGACGGUUUUCGGAUUGUAAACCUCUGUCCUCUGUGAAGAUAAUGACGGUAGCAGAGGAGGAAGCUCCGGCUAACUACGUGCCAGCAGCCGCGGUAAUACGUAGGGAGCAAGCGUUGUCCGGAUUUAGUGGGUUUAAAGGGUGCGUAGGCGGGCUUUUAAGUCAGCGGUAAAAAUUCGGUGCUCAACCCCGUACGGCCGUUGAAACGGGGGGCCUUGAUUGGGCGAGAAGAAGGCGGAAUGCGUGGUGUAGCGGUGAAAUGCAUAGAUAUCACGCAGAACCCCGAUUGCGAAGGCAGCCUUCCGGCGCCCUACUGACGCUGAGGCACGAAAGUGCGGGGAUCGAACAGGAUUAGAUACCCCUGUAGUC
rnacentral:rRNA from 1 species